AGGAGCAUGGUGGCUUAGUGGUUAGCAUGUUCACCUCACACCUCCAAGGUUGGGGGUUUGAUUCCCGCUGCUCUCC